rnacentral:rRNA from 1 species
GUCUAUGGCCAUGCCGCCCUGAACAAGCCCGAUGUCUGAUCUCGGAAGCUAAGCAGGGUUGGGCCUGGUUAGUACUUGCAUGGGAGACCACCUAGGAACACCAGGUACUGUAGGCA